rnacentral:tRNA from 1 species
GCUUAGUUGGUAAAGCACUCGUCUAGCAUACAAGAGUCGUGGGUUCGAAUCCCAAC